rnacentral:rRNA from 1 species
AACGAACGCUGGCGGCAUGCCUAACACAUGCAAGUCGAACGAGACCUUCGGGUCUAGUGGCGCACGGGUGCGUAACGCGUGGGAAUCUGCCCUUGGGUACGGAACAACAGUUAGAAAUGACUGCUAAUACCGUAUAAUGACUCCGGUCCAAAGAUUUAUCGCCCAAGGAUGAGCCCGCGUCGGAUUAGCUAGUUGGUGAGGUAAAAGCUCACCAAGGCGACGAUCCGUAGCUGGUCUGAGAGGAUGAUCAGCCACACUGGGACUGAGACACGGCCCAGACUCCUACGGGAGGCAGCAGUGGGGAAUAUUGGACAAUGGGCGAAAGCCUGAUCCAGCAAUGCCGCGUGAGUGAUGAAGGCCUUAGGGUUGUAAAGCUCUUUUACCCGGGAUGAUAAUGACAGUACCGGGAGAAUAAGCCCCGGCUAACUCCGUGCCAGCAGCCGCCGCGG